rnacentral:tRNA from 1 species
GCCCACGUAGCUCAGGAGGUAGAGCACUUCCUUGGUAAGGAAGAGGUCACCGGUUCAAAUCCGGUCGUGGGCUCCA